AAACGUCUGAAUGCCUCGGGCCCUUAAAUG
rnacentral:piRNA from 1 species